GGAGAACACACAUGCUGCAGUAUCACGAGGCCCAUGAAGUGACUAGGCUGAGCCAACCACCCAGGAUGAGAGCCAAUGCCAACUCCUGUCUGUGCUGUGAGCUCCUUGCACAUGGUCAGUGCUGAGAUCCAUCAGCUCUGGGAAAAUUUCAGAGUAGGAGGGAGCAGCACUCCACGCAGAGGAAGGGGUUCCUGAAAACACUGGAUGCAAGAACAUUCCCCAUGAAGUCACAGCGUGUGAGGGUAGCUGGGCACACCUGAGGUGCAUCAGUGAGCAGCGAGCACACCAGAGUCGACAUCUCCUGCAUUUUCAGCAGCAGAAGGGAGUGCAGCCUACUUCACCAGUCUGCUUGCCACCGAACACUUGGCUGUUAAAAAAGAGCCCUUUAAAACCGUUUGAUGUUUUGGACUAAAUAAAGCUAUGCUCCCACUCC